rnacentral:rRNA from 1 species
AUUGAACGCUGGCGGCAGGCCUAACACAUGCAAGUCGAGCGAGCGGCGGACGGGUGAGUAAUGUAUGGGGACUGCCCGAUAGAGGGGGAUAACUACUGGAAACGGUGGCUAAUACCGCAUACUAUCGGAUAACCCAUAUGGGAUUAGCUAGUAGGUGGGGUAAAGGCUCACCUAGGCGACGAUCUCUAGCUGGUCUGAGAGGAUGAUUAGCCACACUGGGACUGAGACACAGCCGAGACUCCUGCGGAGGCAGCAGUGGGGAAUAUUGCGCAAUGGGCGCAAGCCUGAUGCAGCCAGACGGGGUGUAUGAAGAAGGCCUUAGGGUGGGUAAGUACUUUAAGCGGGGAGACGUUACCCGCAGAAGAAGCACCGGCUAACUCCGUGCCAGCCGCCGCGGUAAUAC